GUUUGGUGUGGAUUUUUAGCUGUAAUAACAUCUCCACAAAUGACAAAUCUGUCUACAAACAAACGUGUUGCUGAACAUAUUAAGUAAUGCUCUCAAAUGACUUUCUUUGGGAGGAGAUGGAAGAGGUCGGUUUUCAUUGCAUUUCCUUUCCCGACUGCCUGCAGGGCAAUUCUUAUUUUUUAUUAGUCAGAUAAAAAAACGAUUUCCGCUUGCACCCGGUCUAAGAGCUACAUCCAAUGACUCUGUCGUGGUAAAACGAUAACUUUUAACAGCCCGUAUCAUUGGAAUUUGUCUUACAGAUAAAACCCCUCGCCACGGCACCCCAGUGUUAGUAUUGGUGUACUGUGCAGUAGGUUAACCCCUCGCCACGCCACCCCAGUGUUAGUAUUGGUGUACUGUGCAGUAGGUUAACCCCUCGCCACGCCACCCCAGUGUUAGUAUUGGUGUACUGUGCAGUAGGUUAACCCCUCGCCACGCCACCCCAGUGUUAGUAUUGGUGUACUGUGCAGUAGGUUACAAGCUCAGAGGAAUGGCUGCUGUUUAUGUGUUGUAAAUAUGAGGUAGAGGCUUCCUACACCGGAGUACAUUCCUGCUGCUGUUGCCCGAUCAAGUGGUGUUCCAGCACCCUCCCGAGUGACAAUAGAUUUUGACGCCGUGGUGGCGUGGCGGUCAUCGAUUUGAUAUCACUCUUUUUGCUGUUUGCUUCCUAUCAGCAGUCUGAUUGAAGAGCUGGUUCACAUUCUCCUUCUCUGGUCUUUAUAAGGACAGGACCAGGGUCAACAAUACGAGUCAGUGUUUAUCUUAGAAAGAUCAAAGACCUGAGAUGGCUAGAGUUUCUAUAGAUAACUUAUCUUAUUUUUUUUUGUAUGUGUGUUUGUGUGUGCGUGCGUGUGUGUAUGUGUGUGGUCUCCUUCCGAGAAGGAAGUGUUAGAAGUGUUGACAUUUUUCUUGGGAAAGAGGAGUGUCUACUUCUAUCAAUGCAUCCUUCCCCCAGCCAAACACACUCACGCCACACACAUCCCUGUUGCCUUUCGCAACCCAUAAUUUGAC
ensembl:lncRNA